rnacentral:tRNA from 1 species
GGGAGUUUGGUGUAAUGACAGCACAGCGGCUUCCAACCCCGCUGGCGUGGGUUUGAUUCCGACAACUCCUGCCA